UCCGAAGCGAUUCUGACGUGCAAAUCGAUUGUCUGACUUUGGUACAGCGGCGAAAGACUGAUCGAACAAUCUAGUAGCUGAUUCCCUCUGAAGUUUCCCUCAGGAUAGAUGGAGUACGUUAUGAAACUGCUACAUUCGGUAAAGCGAAUGAUUAAAGGAAUUGUGGGACGAAACGUCUUCAACCGUGGAUGACUCGCUUGCUCGAAUGAAGCGUGGACAUUGAAUAUGUGCUCUACAUAGGCCAUUUUGGUAAGCAGAACUGGGGUGCUGUGGACGGACAAAAGUUGAGUUAAAGUCUUUUCAGAAAAUAUCAAAAGAUUUUAACGUUUAGAAAUUAAACGCGAAUAAAUUUGUCAAACCUUUUGAAUUGUGAUUCCUUGUGAACGUGUCUUAAAUCCA
rfam:Onchocerca ochengi, WGS project CAWC01000000 data, contig: 04063_5876